rnacentral:rRNA from 1 species
UGGAGGCAGCAGUGGGGAAUUUUGCGCAAUGGGCGAAAGCCUGACGCAGCAACGCCGCGUGAGUGAUGAAGGCUUUCGGGUCGUAAAGCUCUGUCGAGGGGAAAGAAGUGUAUUGUGGCUAAUAUCCACGAUACUUGACGGUACCCCUAAAGGAAGCACCGGCUAACUCCGUGCCAGCAGCCGCGGUAAUACGGGGGGUGCAAGCGUUGUUCGGAAUUAUUGGGCGUAAAGAGCGUGUAGGCGGUUUGUUAAGUCUGAUGUGAAAGCCCUGGGCUCAACCCAGGAAGUGCAUUGGAAACUGGCGGACUUGAAUACGGGAGAGGGCAGUGGAAUUCCUAGUGUAGGAGUGAAAUCCGUAGAUAUUAGGAGGAACACCGGUGGCGAAGGCGGCUGCCUGGACCGAUAUUGACGCUGAGACGCGAAAGCGUGGGUAGCAAACAGGAUUAGAUACCCUGGUAGU